rnacentral:tRNA from 1 species
UCCCUGGAGGUCCAGUGGUUAAGACUAUGCACUUCAACUGCCAUGGGCCCAGGUUCAAUCCCUGGCUGGGGAA